rnacentral:misc_RNA from 1 species
UUAACUAUUAUGUAGUACUCAGACAACACAAUUAAAGAAUGUUGGGUCCUCUGGCGGGCACAGACCAGCUGAAGCCGGUGGUCAUGAGACGGGCCCGCCAAAGCAACAAAGGUAUUGUAAACAAAGGGUGGGAGAUAUACCCCAAGGGGCAUGUUCUCUGUAAUGAUCCUUCCGCAGGUUCACCUACGGAAA